GAUGAACGCUAGCGGCAGGCCUAAUACAUGCAAGUCGAGGGGCAGUUCUGCUUUCGGGCAGAAGCGACCGGCGCACGGGUGCGUAACGCGUAUGCAACCUACCCACAACUGGGGGAUAGCCCGGAGAAAUCCGGAUUAAUACCCCAUAAUGCAUUGAAACUGCAUGGUUUUAUUGCUAAAGAUUUAUCGGUUGUGGAUGGGCAUGCGUCUGAUUAGUUAGUUGGUGAGGUAACGGCUCACCAAGGCGACGAUCAGUAGGGGGUCUGAGAGGAUGAUCCCCCACACUGGUACUGAGAUACGGACCAGACUCCUACGGGAGCAGCAGUAGGGAUAUUGGUCAAUGGGCGAAGCCUGAACCAGCCAUGCCGCGUGCAGGAUGACGGCCUUCUGGGUUGUAAACUGCUUUUAUCAGGG
rnacentral:rRNA from 1 species